UUGAGCGAUUUACUUCGGUAAAGAGCGGCGGACGGGUGAGUAACGCGUGGGUAACCUACCCUGUACACACGGAUAACAUACCGAAAGGUAUGCUAAUACGGGAUAAUAUAUUUGAGAGGCAUCUCUUGAAUAUCAAAGGUGAGCCAGUACAGGAUGGACCCGCGUCUGAUUAGUUAGUUGGUAAGGUAACGGCUUACCAAGGCGACGAUCAGUAGCCGACCUGAGAGGGUGAUCGGCCACAUUGGAACUGAGACACGGUCCAAACUCCUACGGGAGGCAGCAGUGGGGAAUAUUGCACAAUGGGCGAAAGCCUGAUGCAGCAACGCCGCGUGAGUGAUGAAGGCCUUCGGGUCGUAAAACUCUGUCCUCAAGGAAGAUAAUGACGGUACUUGAGGAGGAAGCCCCGGCUAA
rnacentral:rRNA from 1 species